ACGGAAGGCAGCAGUGGGGAAUAUUGCACAAUGGGCGAAAGCCUGAUGCAGCGACGCCGCGUGAGUGAAGAAGUAUCUCGGUAUGUAAAGCUCUAUCAGCAGGGAAGAAAAUGACGGUACCUGACUAAGAAGCCCCGGCUAACUACGUGCCAGCAGCCGCGGUAAUACGUAGGGGGCAAGCGUUAUCCGGAUUUACUGGGUGUAAAGGGAGCGUAGACGGUUUGGCAAGUCUGAAGUGAAAUGCGGGGGCUCAACUCCUGAACUGCUUUGGAAACUGUCGAACUAGAGUACAGGAGAGGUAAGUGGAAUUCCUAGUGUAGCGGUGAAAUGCGUAGAUAUUAGGAGGAACACCAGUGGCGAAGGCGGCUUACUGGACUGUAACUGACGUUGAGGCUCGAAAGCGUGGGGAGCAAACAGGAUUAGAUACCCUGGUA
rnacentral:rRNA from 1 species